CAGCAAAUGGAGGCUGGCUGUAGCUCCGCCCCCACAUCCAUUUGGCUCCACCUCCACAGUCGAGUUGGCUCUGCCCCCAAUUCUCAGUGCAGUACUUCUGUACUGCUGAAUUCCCAGCCUGUGUGUGUGUGUGAGAGCUGUGUGGCUCCCGGCGCCCUGUGCAGCCACACAGCUCACAGGUGGCACCCGGGGCGGACCUCCCCCCCCUUAGUACGCCACUGGCAACAGUGUUGCAACGAUUUCUCAUUGUGCUCCUUCGGAAAGCAUGUGAUUGGACAGCCAGCUACUGCACACACAAUCCUCCUCCUAACCCCCGCCCACACACACAUACCGCCAUCAAAUAUGUUUGAACACCUUAACACACAGUUAGACGUACUAGCACAUAUACACACUUAGAUAUAGAGUGAAACACACACAGACACACACACUGGCACAUACACUCAGAUACACACAUUGAAACACACACAUGGCUGUCACUUCCUUCCUGCUGGCUGACAUCACAGCGGCCUGGUUGGCUCUUAAAAGGGCUGGCAAGUAUUAUGGGGGGCUAGG